CAGAGCGUAGCUAAAUUAGAAUAGCAUUUCCCUUACACCGAAAAGACGCCCGUGCAAGCCGGGCCGCACUGA
rnacentral:tRNA from 1 species